rnacentral:rRNA from 1 species
UACGUAGGUGGCAAGCGUUGUCCGGAUUUAUUGGGCGUAAAGGGGGCGCAGGCGGUUUCUUAAGUCUGAUGUGAAAGCCCACGGCUCAACCGUGGAAGGUCAUUGGAAACUGGGGAACUUGAGUGCAGAAGAGGAGGGUGGAGUUCCAUGUGUAGCGGUGAAAUGCGUAGAUAUAUGGAGGAACACCAGUGGCGAAGGCGACUCUCUGGCCAUAAACUGACGCUGAGGUACGAAAGCGUGGGUAGCAAACAGG